CAACCGAGGUGGGACCUCACAUAUUUCAUCCAAAUCCCUUUCAUAUUUAGGAAUCAAGAAUCUGAUUGAAGAGUAAUUCAAAGGUUGUGAGAGUCUACGAGGCAAACUAUGAGCAAAGCCAUUUACUCCUCUUGAUCUCUUUCUGGAUACAGAGUCAUGGAACUAUUCAAAAAGAGGCCAUUCCUACUGUGAUUACUUGCAAAGGUAUGACAUAGGCUUGUCCUCUUA